GAUGAACGCUGGCGGCGUGCCUAAUACAUGCAAGUCGAGCGAACGGACGAGAAGCUUGCUUCUCUGAUGUUAGCGGCGGACGGGUGAGUAACACGCGGAUAACCUACCUAUAAGACUGGGAUAACUUCGGGAAACCGGAGCUAAUGCCGGAUAAUAUUUUGAACCGCAUGGUUCAAAAGUGAAAGACGGUCUUGCUGUCACUUAUAGAUGGAUCCGCGCUGCAUUAGCUAGUUGGUAAGGUAACGGCUUACCAAGGCAACGAUGCAUAGCCGACCUGAGAGGGUGAUCGGCCACACUGGAACUGAGACACGGUCCAGACUCCUACGGGAGGCAGCAGUAGGGAAUCUUCCGCAAUGGGCGAAAGCCUGACGGAGCAACGCCGCGUGAGUGAUGAAGGUCUUCGGAUCGUAAAACUCUGUUAUUAGGGAAGAACAUAUGUGUAAGUAACUGUGCACAUCUUGACGGUACCUAAUCAGAAAGCCACGGCUAACUACGUG
rnacentral:rRNA from 1 species